rnacentral:rRNA from 1 species
ACGUAGGGGGCAAGCGUUAUCCGGAUUUACUGGGUGUAAAGGGAGCGCAGGCGGUGCGGCAAGUCAGAUGUGAAAACCCGGGGCUCAACCCCGGGACUGCAUUUGAAACUGUCGGACUAGAGUGCCGGAGAGGUAAGUGGAAUUCCUAGUGUAGCGGUGAAAUGCGUAGAUAUUAGGAGGAACACCAGUGGCGAAGGCGGCUUACUGGACGGUAACUGACGCUGAGGCUCGAAAGCGUGGGGAGCAAACAG